GGGAACGAGGUGCAACUCCUCGACAGUGCCGCUACGGUGACCGAUCCUAGAGAAGGUUCGGAAGUCCGAGUACC
rnacentral:ncRNA from 2 species